rnacentral:tRNA from 1 species
GGCUUCGUGGCGGAAUUGGUAUACGCAACAGACUUAAAAUCUGUCGUCCGUGUGGACUUGUGGGUUCGAGUCCCACCGGAGCUACCA